AAUAAAGAUAAGCUAAUAAAGCUAAUGGGUUCAUACCCCGUAAAUGUGAGUAACACUCUCUCUUUUUAA
rnacentral:tRNA from 1 species